CCUCAACAUGACAAGUGAUAACGAAAUCGAAACAAGGAUGUGCCGUGGGAAAGACAUUACGAAAUUUACCUACUGGGUGUCCUCGCCCUGUGUGACCGUCCCUUCGGUGUUCCUCAGGGCCCAAUAAGAGGGAAAGAAAUGUUGACAGACAAAGCAACAGGUCCUGAGGAAUCUAUGGCACCUAACAGUCACCUACAGAAUAAGGUGGACGAGCAUCUUGAGGAGAAGAAUAAGGUCCUGUCAACCCACCGGAUGUAAAGGCUCUUCGAUGCUCUUAUGUUGGUGAGUAAUAAUGAGGAUUUUGUGCUUAAGGAAUU